UUAUGGAGAGUUUGAUCCUGGCUCAGGACGAACGCUGGCGGCGUGCCUAAUACAUGCAAGUCGAGCGGAUCGAUGGGAGCUUGCUCCCUGAGAUCAGCGGCGGACGGGUGAGUAACACGUGGGUAACCUGCCUGUAAGACUGGGAUAACUCCGGGAAACCGGGGMUAAUACCGGAUAACACCUACCCCCGCAUGGGGGAAGGUUGAAAGGUGGCUUCGGCUAUCACUUACAGAUGGACCCGCGGCGCAUUAGCUAGUUGGUGAGGUAAUGGCUCACCAAGGCGACGAUGCGUAGCCGACCUGAGAGGGUGAUCGGCCACACUGGGACUGAGACACGGCCCAGACUCCUACGGGAGGCAGCAGUAGGGAAUCUUCCGCAAUGGACGAAAGUCUGACGGAGCAACGCCGCGUGAGUGAAGAAGGUUUUCGGAUCGUAAAACUCUGUUGUUAGGGAAGAACAAGUGCCGUUCGAAUAGGGCGGCGCCUUGACGGUACCUAACCAGAAAGCCACGGCUAACUACGUGCCAGCAGCCGCGGUAAUACGUAGGUGGCAAGCGUUGUCCGGAAUUAUUGGGCGUAAAGCGCGCGCAGGUGGUUUCUUAAGUCUGAUGUGAAAG
rnacentral:rRNA from 1 species